rnacentral:rRNA from 1 species
AGAGUUUGAUCCUGGCUCAGAUUGAACGCUGGCGGCGUGCCUAACACAUGCAAGUCGUGCGAGAAAGUGGGCUUCGGCCCGCGAGUACAGCGGCGCACGGGUGAGUAACACGUGGGUGAUCUCCCUAACAGAUUGGGAUAACAGCGGGAAACUGCUGCUAAUACCGGAUACGAUCCAUUUAAUCGUGGGUGAAAGGCGGCCUCUGCUUGCAAGCUGCCACUGUUAGAUGAGCCCGCGUCCCAUUAGCUUGUUGGCGGGGUAACGGCCCACCAAGGCGACGAUGGGUAGCUGGUCUGAGAGGAUGACCAGCCACACUGGGACUGAAACACGGCCCAGACUCCUACGGGAGGCAGCAGUGGGGAAUAUUGCGCAAUGGGCGAAAGCCUGACGCAGCGACGCCGUGUGAUGGAAGAAGGCCUUCGGGUCGUAAACCUCUGUCAGAAGGGAAGAACCCCCAAGGUUCGAAUAGGGCUUUGGGCUGACGUACCUCAGAGAAG